AAUGUGACUGGUGACCUUAUAAGGAAGGAAAAUUAGGACACAGAAAGGAACAGAGGCAAGACCAUGUGAACCACAGAAAGGAGAGAGCCAUCUAUAAGCCAAGGAGAAAAACCUAGAAUAAAUCCUCAUGGCCCUCAGAAGAAACCAAGCUUGCCCACACAUCGAUCGUGGACUUCUACCUCCAGAACUGUGAGGAAAUACAUUUCUGAUAUUUACUCCCCCUAGUCUGUGGGACUAGGUUAUGGUCCCCUCCAACCACCCCCCAUCACAACACACAGAGCUUUCAGCCUUCUUACUGUUUCUUCGAAGAAGUUAAACUCAACUGGCACCCGUCAAGAACUUCUGCACUUCUGUCCGGCAAGGAAACGCUGUGGACAUGAGGAAUGUUUAGGGAACAGACACAGUGCGGUGUCUUUGAGGACUGGAAACCCCUUUCUGUCUCAGUUGUUCUUUUUUGCUGCAAAGGAGUUAAAGGGCUCUGCCGCUGUGCUGAGGAAAUAUACAAGCCACAUGCCGACACCCCCAGCACCCAGGGAUGUCUUCGAAUGAGAAAACAAAGGCAAUGUUGUUUCUAAAUAUGACUGUGCAAGGACUUAGGGAAGGGAUGGAUGCAGGAUACGAAUACCAUGAACGCAUUCAGUGUCCUCUUCGAGAAAGCACCUGUUGCGACAAGGCCAUCAGCCACCGGAGCUGAAAGCCCCAAGGAAACUCACAGACCGGAAGCCCUUGCGCUGCCAGACUGCCACCAGGCUUCUUUUGAAACAAAACGUUUGCUUUCCAUAAAGAUCCCCGCACCAGGGCCAGCUCUUCCACAGCACAGCACCGUGACAGUCCCCGGAGGACAUUUUCCUCAUGCCAGCUGGGGAAUAACAUCCCCGAUAAGACCAUUUGGGGAGGAAGUUCCGGCCACAGGGGACAGAAUAAACAGUGGAAUUCUCGAAAGCCUCCACGUCAUUCAUGCUGGAACACAGGUAUCAGAGUCAGUCUUGCCAGUGCCCAGCUUGUGCGGGACUGCAGGCUGGUGGGUCUCUGCUGAGGAUGCCCUACUGCGGGCAAGUUCAGGUGCAGCCUUUGCUCGCGGAAAGCUGCCAGGCAUCCUCUGCUCCCAACAUUUCCACCCACCCCCCCUCCGGCAGCCUGCUACACUGACCUUCUCUUCUUCCUUUUGGGGGUAAAAGUCCCAGCAGGGGAGCUCAUUUAUUGCUUUCCUGGCUUAUAAAAGAACAGCAGGAACAUUCUCCCCCAAAGACUGUUAUUGAGCACAUAUGCUCCCUCGAUGCAAAGAGGGUCACUCAUGAGCACAGGGCGGGAUUUUGUUUAUUUAGUGUAUUGCUUUCUGGGUUGCACAGUUAAGCCUGGCAAAGGAAGAAAUGAGACUUACCUUUUAAUACUCUAGGUGGCUGUGGAAGCAGGGGCUGGAGGACAUGGAGUAUUGAAAGGAAAGGGCCCAAUAAAGUGCACACAGGAAACAGAUUUGCCAGAGCAGCUUAUUAAAAAUAGAACCUGGGCCCCACUCUCCCCUUAGGAAUUAGAGUCCAUAACAGUAAUUCUCGACCAGGGGCAGUUUUGUUCCCAAGAGACAUUUGACAAUAUCUAAAAGGUAUUUUUGAUGGUCACGGCUGGGGAGGUUGCUCUUGGCAUCUAGUGGGUAGGAGCCAGGAGGCUAGUAAACAUCUUACAGUGCACAGGACAGCCCCCCAUCACCCCAUUGUUUCCUUCAUGGCUUUGUGGAUUCUUUGAGAGUGUUCGCAAGGCCUUUUCCAAGCGCACUAUGCUUCUGGGUAAGGUCCGACCUUCAACCUUAAGUGUCAGAAGUUGAUAAAAGGGGAGAGCAGGCCUUGUCUUUGGGUCACUUGGUGUGCAACCGAAGGCUAAGAGAACCUGUCUUUAGAAAAAGAGGUGAAAAAGUUCAGGAGAAGCAUCUCAACUGUCUUCUAGAGCUCAAGACAGCAGUAUAUCAAGAGUGAAAUGAUUUGGGCUCUUUUGGUCUCUGUACUCAUCAGCCAUAUGCUUUGGCCAGGCUGCUCUCUCUGGGGGCCUCGGUGUCCUUGCCCAUGACGAUGCUUGACCUAACUAGCUGCAAUGCUGUAAGGAUUGCUGAGCAAAUGACCAAGAAAUGGCCUUUAAAAACAUUAUAGUGGAAAGAAAAGAUUGUGCUUGAGUGUGGAAGGUAAGAAACCAGUAGCGUUAACCUGCUGUAAAUGAAAAUGGUUUUCUAUUCAGUCAUGGAUGGAAAAGGUGUUUGUCAAUCUUGGAAUAUAAUGAAUCCUCAUGGCUGAGUCAGAAGAGAAAUAGAAUUUUCUUUCUGCAUAACUCAAAGGUUUCGACUUUACGGAACACAAAGGAUAUAAUCCAAGUUACAUGAUACUCACCAAUAUUGCUAUUUCCAUUAGAAACUAAGCCUAUUUCAUUAGGUUAUUUACACUCCAUAAACAACAGACCAGACUUCGUGGUUUGGUUGGUUAGAGCAUGAUUCUUUUGGUCCUUUUUACAAAUUCUGUUGCAAUCAGGGUCUUUCUCCCGAAAUGCUAUUUCCGUGACACAAACCCUGCAUCCUGAUGUAGCUACAAGUGAAAUAUUGCCCCCUCCAUCCAGAACAGAAAUCUUUAAUUCUGAUUACCGGCAAGGGCACGCAAGAAAUCAAUCUAAUAAAAAAAAAAUUGGCCUGUU